GACGAACGCUGGCGGCGUGCCUAAUACAUGCAAGUCGAACGCUGAAGGGAGGAGCUUGCUGUUCGUGCGGGAGUCGCGAACGGGUGAGUAACGCGAAGGUCCUCUGCCUUGUAGCGGGGGAUAACUAUUGGAAACGAUAGCUAAUUCCUAAUAACAAUGGCUGACACAUGUCUUUUAUUUUAAGGUGGCAAUUGAUCCACUACCACAUGGAUCUUCGUUGUAUUAGCUAGUAGGUGAGGUAAUGGCUCACCUAGGCGAAGAUAAAUAGCCGACCGGAGAGGGUGGACGGCCACACUGGGCCUGAGACCCGGCACACGCUCCUACGGGAGGCGGCAGUAGGGAAUCUUCGGCAAGGGGGGCAACCCUGACCGAGCAACGCCGCGUGAGGGAAGAAGGAUGUCGGAUCGUAAAGCUCUGUUGUAAGUCAGGAACGGGUGUGAGAGUGGAACGUUCACACUGUGACGGUAGCUUAACAGAAAGGGACGGCUAACUACGUG
rnacentral:rRNA from 1 species